GCCCUGGCAGUCAGAGGCGAUGAAGGACGUGCUAAUCUGCGAUAAGCGUCGGUAAGGUGAUAUGAACCGUUAUAACCGGCGAUUUCCGAAUGGGGAAACCCAGUGUGAUUCGUCACACUAUCAUUAACUGAAUCCAUAGGUUAAUGAGGCGAACCGGGGGAACUGAAACAUCUAAGUACCCCGAGGAAAAGAAAUCAACCGAGAUUCCCCCAGUAGCGGCGAGCGAACGGGGAGGAGCCCAGAGCCUGAAUCAGUGUGUGUGUUAGUGGAAGCGUCUGGAAAGGCGCGCGAUACAGGGUGACAGCCCCGUACACAAAAAUGCACAUGCUGUGAGCUCGAUGAGUAGGGCGGGACACGUGGUAUCCUGUCUGAAUAUGGGGGGACCAUCCUCCAAGGCUAAAUACUCCUGACUGACCGAUAGUGAACCAGUACCGUGAGGGAAAGGCGAAAAGAACCCCGGCGAGGGGAGUGAAAAAGAACCUGAAACCGUGUACGUACAAGCAGUGGGAGCACAGAGCAAUCUGUGUGACUGCGUACCUUUUGUAUAAUGGGUCAGCGACUUAUAUUCUGUAGCAAGGUUAACCGAAUAGGGGAGCCGAAGGGAAACCGAGUCUUAACUGGGCGUUAAGUUGCAGGGUAUAGA
rnacentral:rRNA from 1 species